ACCUGAGAUCUGUGUGAUCGUGGGAAAGCGACGAAAAACGAACAAAGGAACAGUAAAUGGAGUAACUUGGCUAGAAUAUGGCAGUAACUACAAGGCAUGUUCUGCUCUGGCACGAAGAAUUUGAAGAAAUGAUGCUGAGCCAGUUCCAGGCCUACCCCUUAAGGAGACUUGACACUUUCUACUUUAGCUCUCUUGGAACUUUGAGCCACCACGUGAGGAGUCUGAUUACCCAUUCGCAAGUGAUGCCUAAACAGCCCCUGUUCCUUCCAGACAACCCACCUGAGGCACCAGACACAUGAGUGAAGCCAUCUUGGACAUCCCAGUCACAGCCAAACUCACUCCUGAGUGCAUCUGCAUGAUGAACCCAGCAAUCCCCACCAUGGAGCAAAGGAUCCAUCCAGUCAACCCAAAGAAUCGUGAAAAAUAAUAAAUUGUUGUUUUAAA
ensembl:lncRNA novel transcript